GAUGAACGCUAGCUACAGGCUUAACACAUGCAAGUCGAGGGGCAGCAUGGUCUUAGCUUGCUAAGGCCGAUGGCGACCGGCGCACGGGUGAGUAACACGUAUCCAACCUGCCGUCUACUCUUGGACAGCCUUCUGAAAGGAAGAUUAAUACGAGAUGGCAUCAUGAGUCCGCAUGUUCACAUGAUUAAAGGUAUUCCGGUAGACGAUGGGGAUGCGUUCCAUUAGAUAGUAGGCGGGGUAACGGCCCACCUAGUCUUCGAUGGAUAGGGGUUCUGAGAGGAAGGUCCCCCACAUUGGAACUGAGACACGGUCCAAACUCCUACGGGAGGCAGCAGUGAGGAAUAUUGGUCAAUGGGCGAGAGCCUGAACCAGCCAAGUAGCGUGAAGGAUGACUGCCCUAUGGGUUGUAAACUUCUUUUAUAAAGGAAUAAAGUCGGGUAUGGAUACCCGUUUGCAUGUACUUUAUGAAUAAGGAUCGGCUAACUCCGUGCCAGCAGCCGCGGUAAUACGGAGGAUCCGAGCGUUAUCCGGAUUUAUUGGGUUUAAAGGGAGCGUAGAUGGAUGUUUAAGUCAGUUGUGAAAGUUUGCGGCUCAACCGUAAAAUUGCAGUUGAUACUGGAUAUCUUGAGUGCAGUUGAGGCAGGCGGAAUUCGUGGUGUAGCGGUGAAAUGCUUAGAUAUCACGAAGAACUCCGAUUGCGAAGGCAGCCUGCUAAGCUGCAACUGACAUUGAGGCUCGAAAGUGUGGGUAUCAAACAGGAUUAGAUACCCUGGUAGUCCACACGGUAAACGAUGAAUACUCGCUGUUUGCGAUAUACUGCAAGCGGCCAAGCGAAAGCGUUAAGUAUUCCACCUGGGGAGUACGCCGGCAACGGUGAAACUCAAAGGAAUUGACGGGGGCCCGCACAAGCGGAGGAACAUGUGGUUUAAUUCGAUGAUACGCGAGGAACCUUACCCGGGCUUAAAUUGCAGAUGAAUUACGGUGAAAGCCGUAAGCCGCAAGGCAUCUGUGAAGGUGCUGCAUGGUUGUCGUCAGCUCGUGCCGUGAGGUGUCGGCUUAAGUGCCAUAACGAGCGCAACCCUUGUUGUCAGUUACUAACAGGUUCCGCUGAGGACUCUGACAAGACUGCCAUCGUAAGAUGUGAGGAAGGUGGGGAUGACGUCAAAUCAGCACGGCCCUUACGUCCGGGGCUACACACGUGUUACAAUGGGGGGUACAGAGGGCCGCUACCACGCGAGUGGAUGCCAAUCCCCAAAACCUCUCUCAGUUCGGACUGGAGUCUGCAACCCGACUCCACGAAGCUGGAUUCGCUAGUAAUCGCGCAUCAGCCACGGCGCGGUGAAUACGUUCCCGGGCCU
rnacentral:rRNA from 1 species